rnacentral:lncRNA from 1 species
UGCGUGAUUAAGCCCUUGGAUGGAUGAUAGAUAUUGCGUCGCCCAUUUUUUUAUGAAAAUGGCAAGUCCCUUUUCUUGCAGUUGCCCCAUGCUCAAUAAAUUGUUGCGAAGCUCUGGGACAUAAUAUACAUCUCGAACAAGAAAAGUAGUGCCAUCAAAUACCAAUCUAACACUGCCUUUUCCAGCUACAGGCAUUCGAG